rfam:Gorilla gorilla gorilla genomic chromosome, chr22, whole genome shotgun sequence
GCCGGGUGUGGUGGCGUGCACCUGUAGUUCCAGCUUCUCGGGAGGCUGAGCUGGGAGGAUCACUUGAGCCCAGGAGUUUGAGGCUACAGUGAGCCUUGAUCACACCACUGCACUCCAGCCUGGGCGACACAGUGAGACCCUGUCUCAA